CAACUUUUGACAACGGAUCUCUUGGCUCUCGCAACGAUGAAGAACGCAGCGAAAUGCGAUACGUAAUGUGAAUUGCAGAAUUUGUGAAUCAUCGAAUCUUUGAACGCAACUUGCACUCUACUUUGUAGAGUAUGCCUGUUUGAGAAUCUAGU
rnacentral:rRNA from 1 species